rnacentral:rRNA from 1 species
UACGUAGGGGGCAAGCGUUGUCCGGAUUUAUUGGGCGUAAAGAGCGUGUAGGCGGUUUGGUAGGUCCGCUGUGAAAACUCGAGGCUCAACCUCGAGACGCCGGUGGAAACCAUCAGGCUAGAGUCCGGAAGAGGAGAGUGGAAUUCCUGGUGUAGCGGUGAAAUGCGCAGAUAUCAGGAAGAACACCCGUGGCUAAGGCGGCUCUCUAGUACGGUACUGACGCUGAGACGCGAAACGUGGGGAGCGAACAGG